rnacentral:rRNA from 1 species
GAUGAACGCUGGCGGCGUGCCUAAUACAUGCAAGUCGAGCGAACAGACGAGGAGCUUGCUCCUUCGACGUUAGCGGCGGACGGGUGAGUAACACGUAGGUAACCUACCUAUAAGACUGGGAUAACUUCGGGAAACCGGAGCUAAUACCGGAUAAUAUUUCGAACAGCAUGGUUCGAUAGUGAAAGAUGGCUUUGCUAUCACUUAUAGAUGGACCUGCGCCGUAUUAGCUAGUUGGUAAGGUAACGGCUUACCAAGGCAACGAUACGUAGCCGACCUGAGAGGGUGAUCGGCCACACUGGAACUGAGACACGGUCCAGACUCCUACGGGAGGCAGCAGUAGGGAAUCUUCCGCAAUGGGCGAAAGCCUGACGGAGCAACGCCGCGUGAGUGAUGAAGGUCUUCGGAUCGUAAAACUCUGUUAUUAGGGAAGAACAAACGUGUAAGUAACUGUGCACGUCUUGACGGUACCUAAUCAGAAAGCCACGGCUAACUACGUG